CUCCCUUCUAUCCCGGUCGCGAUUGGUUUCAUCCGGGCGUAGUCGACCUUUUCGGCCGAUCGGCUCCCAGCUUGUCUUUCGGUUCUCCACAGCCGUGCGUUGUUAGUUUUGAUUAGUUUGGGUGGGUCUGCCACAAUUUCAGAACCUUUUGGAUCGUUGCAGGUCAUAGGUCUGGUGUUGACAUUUUUUUUUUUUUUUUAUCCACCGUAUCUAAUCAACGUGUAGAAUGUCCUCGACACGACGGCGCCAAAUGAUCUCGUUUGCAAGGCAGACACGGCAGUGAAGCUUUAGCACACGGUGCCAUUCUCCUGGCGCGACUUGGGGCAGGUGGACCUCGGGAUGGGCUGCACGGACGGCGCCAGCGUGCAGAAGAAGCCGGCGAUGAGGGUCAGGCCCAGACCCCCCCAGGCGCAGAACAUGGACC